AUGAUUACAAGGUACUUGCUUAACAAGUUUAGCUCUGUGUGUUGGUGUGCUAAGCUGAGUUUGACACCCCUCUUAGAUGGACUAGCAUGGCUUAGUGGGAUAAUUGUGUUUUUGUUUUUUUUCCCUACAGAUCUAGUCCAGUGGAAGGCCCUCAGCCACCAAAGACAGAAGUUCCACCUCAGACAGUGUAAAGCAUAUGGUGCGACAGGGGGGCCCAUUUCAGCAACAGGAAAUGCUCAGACGCACAAAGUUACUUACAGGAAUGUGGAGGAGAGUCGAACCUGCUUGACCUCUUUUUGUAACCUCAUCCUAAAUGCUGAUCUGUUGAUGUAUUUUUAGCUCUCACGGUAGCACACGUGCUACAUUAUGUCUCUUUUGUGUUCAUAUCGUGUGAAUGUCACCAUUCAUGAUGCAUCUCACCUGGCCCCAGUUAUUUUACUCAUGCAUGAAUAGUUUGCUCUUAAUGUUGUUGUUGUUGUUGUUAUUAUUAUAUGAGGCUUAGAUAUAAAAGAACAUUUAUGGAAAUAUUCACAGAAGCGAUCAGGACUAAUGAUUGAAUUACACUGAAGAGCUUGUGUUUCAUCUAAUGGAUUUCAAUCCUUUAGACCGAUAUGAUGAAGUUAAUAUUUUCACUCCUUUACAUUUGAAUAAACAGAAUAUUGUUUGAAUAAAUAUAAAUAGCUUUCCAGCAUGGAACUACCCUGUAACUUGUGCAUGCUAAGUUUCAACAAAAUGUAAGACAAUUUUCUAGUUGUUUUAGUCUUGCAGCAUAUAUUUAUUUAUUAUUUUAGUGCAUUUGAAAUACUUUUGAAUGUGUUUCACAAUUAUGUUGUCACAUUACAGUAGAAAUGUAAGUUAUUACCAUUAACAGUUUUGACGUCAAUCAUAACAAGAUAAACUGAAAUGCAUGGCUUUUCUGUUUACAGAUUAGUCAUUUGGAUUUGUAAAGUCAGGAAUUACUCUACAGAGGACUUAGAAACUGUAGGAAAGUCUUGCCUUAAGAACUACUGGUUACUCCUUCCUUGGAGGUACACAUGAUCUUAUGUCCUUUGUAACUGCAUGAAUGUUUGACUACUGUAUUCCUGUAAACAAAAAACUUUAGAAAGUAAUACUUUAGUCCCCAACCAAGUGUCACUAAGAAGCAAAUUACUUAAUUGCAACUGAAUUUAUUUAUGCCUCAUGUAUUAAUAAAAAAGCAUCCAUAUAUUUCAGUUAAUAAUGAGCCACUGCACAUCUGUUUGAUCAGCAUGGAGAAAUGCUUAUGAAUUCAUUACGAUUCCUUUCAUGAAGGGUUUUUUCUGCCUUGAAAUGAAGUAAUUGAGUAUGACUAAACAUCCACAGCAGUCAUAAUGAAGAGCUCAAUACAGUUACUAUAAGAAAAGGUGUUUUUAUUAAUCAUCCAAAUGUUAGUCAUGUGCCAAAGACAUUUGGCUCAGUAAAAGAUCCUGAGUUACAGAGGUUUGUUCUUAGUCUUUACUUAUUUAGCUUUAUUUAAUUUGGCUUGGUCAGUUGACAUAUAAUGCAAAACACACAAACACAUUAAUAAAACAUUAAUGAUUUGCAGAAAUACUGGAAUAAUUAUAAAUGUGGCUUUUUAGAGAUGACACUUCACAAACAAUAUUUAAAAUAAAACAUUGUACAUACAAUCAAGCAAAGUUUAAUGCUACUUUAUACACUCACAGAAUUUGGUUUUGUCAGAUGGUUUCAUUCAUUAAGUGUUUGUGAUAUUUGUUAAAACAUGAGCAAAGUUAAUUAAUUCCUUGGAAGGCAGUUUGCACUUUGCUUUCAAACUUAUUCUCAUAAAUCCACAGACCUCUUUGUUUUACAAGAAAGUGACAUUAGCGUGUGUUUUCCCUCAUUUGAAUUUCCAGAGGGACUCUGGGUACUUCAACAUGAUGAAUCAUGCAUAUCACUGACUCAACAACAACAACAUCCUCAACAUCUGUAAUCUUGAUACAAGAUGGACACUAUCCCCACAUAGAAAAACUUUUUCUUUCAUACUAUUCCACUGAAAUAACAUUGUUAAAUCAUAUUAAUGAUUCUGACAUCUUGAUUCUGGUAGGUCUUGAUGACAAAACGACCUUUUUACCACAGAACCCCCUGACAUUUCACCCCCUCAUAUAUGACUCAUCAAAAUAACACUUUCACAUAUAUGCCUGGAUGACACAUCUGCUGUAAGGACAACUGAUAUCAAGUGUGCUGCUGAGAAAUGUGCAUUACAUAGAGAACUGAUGUCAUUCGUAUCAAACAAUGAAAUAAAUAACUGAUCUUCACCCUGAGGGAAAGUAACAUGAACAUGAGCGCAGAGUAUAUGCCACAUAUACCAACCAAAAGCUAUAUAAAUACAUCUCAAAACAAAUGAAGAAUAUCCCACUGAUACAGUGAGUUAAAAAAGCAAACCAAUAUGGUUUAGAAUUUAAGUUGGAAACUCGACUGGUACUGCCAGUCCUCAUGACGAUUUCAUUGAAAUCACUAUUCAUGAACAUACUAAAAUUUGCUUUCAUCUUUAAAUAAACUGAGAAGCAGCGUUAUGGUACAGAAUCAAUGAAUGAUUCUUCAAAAAAUAAACUGUCAUACUAAAAAUGAUGCAAUAUGUGAAAAUCCUUAUAAAAGGAUACUGAAAAUCAACCCAUUCUUCUCCAGAGAUUACAUUUUUGGGGGUUAUUUUUAAAGCUCUUUCUGAUCUUAACUCUUUUUAAAUAUUUAAAAAAAAAUUUUAUUCACAUCUUAAUGGUGAACGGUUAGCAAAAUUAUCAAGAUUAAUGUUUUGUGUGCAUACUAUUAUUUAAUCCAGACGACUGCAUCUCUACUGGAGAAGUUGGGAUACGGUG
ensembl:lncRNA